GUGUCAGCCGCCGCGGUAAUACGGAGGAUGCAAGCGUUGUCCGGAUUCAUUGGGUUUAAAGGGUGCGUAGGCGGAGAAUUAAGUCAGUGGUGAAAGCUUACAGCUUAACUGUAAAAAUGCCAUUGAAACUGAUUUUCUUGAGUUCGAUUGAGGUAGAUGGAAUGUAUCAUGUAGCGGUGAAAUGCUUAGAUAUGAUACAGAACACCAAUUGCGAAGGCAGUCUACUAAGUCGAUACUGACGCUGAGGCACGAAAGCAUGGGGAGCAAACAGGAUUAGAAACCCUCGUAGUCC
rnacentral:rRNA from 1 species